rnacentral:lncRNA from 1 species
UCAACGAGUUAGUGGAUAAUUUUCAAAAGAUGUAUUUUUAUACGUAGAUUAUCCAAAAGUGAUCUUUUCCUCUAUUUUAAACUCUGUCGGUAAUAUUUAUACAAAAUUUCCUAACUGGAGUGUUACUUGUAAAAUGCCUAUCAUUGUUAGUAAAUGCUUCCGGCUUCCUUUCUCAAAAAAAAAAAAGGCUUCACCCAAAUAUAAAGGUGGUUGAUGAUCACUUAGACUUGGGAAUUCACAUCUCUCGUGAUCUGAUAUUCAAGAAGUAUAUACACUACAUCAUAAGGAAGGCCAAUCGAAAUUGGGCAAUCAUUAAAAUAAGUUUCAAGACACGGUACUUUUCGUUCAACUUAAGAGACUUUAUUUCCUCCGGAUUUUAACAAAAGUUCGAAACUAGGUUUGUGUCGUUUUUUCCUUUAUUGGGAGAUAGCAACAAACUAGCCAUACAAAAUCAAAAGAGUUGGCCACGUCACUUUUAUCAUAAGAAUUUAUCAUUACGGAUUUUCUUACGCUCCACAGAAUUUUAAACUAAAAGAUAAACCAUCUUCCCACCCCUGGAUACAAAACAAAGACUACUUCUUCCACGAAACAAGACUGCCUGAACACAAUGUCAUCUACUCUCCAAAACUAAUUAUAGACCUAAUCCUUGGAAUUAUUUUUACUCUCUAUGCGUUUGUCAGGGAAGUGAGCCUGACAUUCAGCAAUUUUUAAUUAAUCAUUUUUUUUUUUGUAAAAUAUUUAUUAUUUUAUUUACGUUUCUGAAUUAUUUUAUUUAGUAAAUUUUUGUCUUUGGACUUUGACUUUAUUUUUUAAACUCUAAUAUCCCUAUCUUAAAUGUAUUAUAUCAUAUACUAAAAAUGACAAUUUUUAUAUAAUAAAACCUGGACUUUCAAUAAUUGGACAAUAUAUAUUUUUUGGAUCCUUGUUAAUGUGAUUCACUUUGAAUAUAUGGUGGAUUUUAUACAUAUCAAAAUGUAUAUUUAGAAUCAUAUAAUAAAAUACCUGUAUUGACAUUUUUAUAUUCUUACACAGAACGUGUUUAUCAUUACAAAAAUACGUCAAAUUUAAUGAGUAUCUAUGCAAAUCCAAAUUUAACUUGCCCUGGUUGAAUUGUUCCAUUUAAAUUGGCUUCAAAGAUGACAAAUCAUCGGGACUUUGCUCUGAAAAGAAUGAAAUAUAUAUCAAAUUAAACAUGCGUUAAAUUUAUUCAAAAAACAAAUCAAAUAGAAUGUAUCUACAUCAUAAAAA